UACGAAGGGGGCUAGCGUUGCUCGGAAUUACUGGGCGUAAAGGGCUCGUAGGCGGUUCGUCACGUCGGGAGUGAAAACUCGGAGCUUAACUCCGAGCCUGCUUCCGAUACGGGCAGACUAGAGGUAGGCAGGGGAGAGCGGAACUCCUGGUGUAGCGGUGGAAUGCGCAGAUAUCAGGAAGAACACCGGUGGCGAAGGCGGCUCUCUGGGCCUUACCUGACGCUGAGGAGCGAAAGCGUGGGUAGCGAACAGG
rnacentral:rRNA from 1 species